GACGAACGCUGGCGGCGUGCUUAACACAUGCAAGUCGAACGGGAAGUCCCUGCUUUUGUGGGGUGCUCGAGUGGCGAACGGGUGAGUAACACGUGAGUAACCUGCCCUUGACUUUGGGAUAACUUCAGGAAACUGGGGCUAAUACCGGAUAGGAGCUCCUGCUGCAUGGUGGGGGUUGGAAAGUUUCGGCGGUUGGGGAUGGACUCGCGGCUUAUCAGCUUGUUGGUGGGGUAGUGGCUUACCAAGGCGUUGACGGGUAGCCGGCCUGAGAGGGUGACCGGCCGCAUUGGGACGGAGAUGCCGCCCACACUCCUACGGGAGGCAGCAGUGGGGAAUAUUGCACCAUGGGCGGAGGCCUGAUGCAGCAACGCCGCGUGCGGGAUGACGGCCUUCGGGUUGUAGACCGCUUUCGCCUGUGACGAAGCGUGAGUGACGGUAAUGGGUAAAGAAGCACCGGCUAACUACGUG
rnacentral:rRNA from 1 species